CCCAGGAAACCUUGAAAGAGAGUAAUUUGGCACAAAUUCAUCUCCUAAUGAAGGAGGGCUGGAAGUCCUGCAUUUUACUAUUCCUUCUGGAUUUUGCCAGCUAUAAAUAGAAGCAAGGUUCCCUUGGAUAGAAUGUUUGAAUUUACUAGGAGAAAUGCAGGGAUCAAGGAUGGCUGAAGAAAAAUACUUGCCAAAGUGUGGUCUUCUCUUCUGCACUUCCCUUGCCCAACUUUCCAAGGUCUACAACUCGAACAAAGACAGCCAGAGUGAAGGGAGUAAGUACGAUGCUUGGGUAACCUUCUACAGCCAGGGUUGGGAGUAGGCUUUGAGAAGUUGCUACUCCAGGUGUGAACCACCAGGCGGUGCUGUGGGCGUGUUGGGUUGGCUCCAGUUCCCGAGUGCAGUGGGACAUGCCUCCACCCCAACUUUCCGCCAGUGACUCCAGAGGGACGGUAAGUGAGCCUGGCUGGCAAGGCUGUAGUGUAGUGACACCUUGCAUUGAAAUAAUGGGUCACACUUUACAAAGCAUUCUCGUGUACAUUAUCUCCUUUAAUCG
rnacentral:lncRNA from 10 species